CUGAAAACUGGUAAAGUCAGUCCCAGUCCAAUGACCUGCCCACAACUCCACACACAAAAAAGGACAGACUGAGAGAGACUGAGGGCGGGAGGAACACAGAGAAAGGGAAAUCAAGUCCAACAAGGUGGCAAAGACAUGGACUCAAUAACAAUUUUUACCAUGUUUUCUUUCAGAAACAAGGACAUUUUAUGUGAGGAUCAAAUAUUCUCCCUUCAAAAACUUCUGCAAUUGAAGGCCGAGCUAUUUAGAUGUCCUAACUACUAGGAAUUAUAUGUCUUUAAAAACUGAGGAAAAAGAACAGCACUACUCAAAUGGUAUAUUCUUUUUACUCUCAGCCACCAACUGGGGCCCCUAAUUUUCUCCCUCUGCCUAGAAUUCCUGUGUCCUACACCAGAAGCGUCUACGGGCCCUGCUCUCUGCUCUUUAUGAGUAUUUAACAUGCUUCACAGAACGGGGGUGCAGCUCAGUGACUGUGAUUCUUUGGUUCAAACACUUAAUUGGGGCUUCAUCUUUGAUUUUUUCUGCAUGUUAAUCUGCAAAUACUCAAGGCCUACUAUGUGCUUUAAAUGAUACUAACACUUCCGUUUAGAAGGUUGUGUGCAUCACAGAGUAUCUGUAACGGGGACAGUCCUAUUUCCCUUUCUCAAUUUUCAGAUGUAUCGAUUCCUUCAGAUUUCAACAGAAAUAACCAAUAAAUGUGGCAGACAUUCUUACAACAUCCUAAGUCAUUAUGACAGUCAUUU
rnacentral:lncRNA from 10 species